UUUUAUGGAGAGUUUGAUCCUGGCUCAGGAUGAACGCUGGCGGCGUGCCUAAUACAUGCAAGUCGAGCGAACGGACGAGAAGCUUGCUUCUCUGAUGUUAGCGGCGGACGGGGGAGUAACACGUGGAUAACCUACCUAUAAGACUGGGAUAACUUCGGGAAACCGGAGCUAAUACCGGAUAAAAUUUUUAAACGAAUGGGUCAAAAGCGAAAGACGGUCUUGCUGUCACUUAUAGGAUGAUCCG
rnacentral:rRNA from 1 species